rnacentral:rRNA from 1 species
GCUAACUCCGUGCCAGCAGCCGCGGUAAUACGGAGGGUGCGAGCGUUAAUCGGAAUAACUGGGCGUAAAGGGCACGCAGGCGGCUAUUUAAGUGAGGUGUGAAAUCCCCGGGCUUAACCUGGGAAUUGCAUUUCAGACUGGGUAGCUAGAGUACUUUAGGGAGGGGUAGAAUUCCACGUGUAGCGGUGAAAUGCGUAGAGAUGUGGAGGAAUACCGAAGGCGAAGGCAGCCCCUUGGGAAUGUACUGACGCUCAUGUGCGAAAGCGUGGGGAGCAAACAGGAUUAGAUACCCUGGUAGUCCACGCUGUAAACGCUGUCGAUUUGGGGAUUGGGCCUUGAGCUUGGUGCCCGAAGCUAACGUGAUAAAUCGACCGCCUGGGGAGUACGGCCGCAAGGUUAAAACUCAAAUGAAUUGACGGGGGCCCGCACAAGCGGUGGAGCAUGUGGUUUAAUUCGAUGCAACGCGAAGAACCUUACCUACUCUUGACAUCCAUGGGAAUCUUGUAGAGAUAUGAGAGUGCCUUCGGGAACCAUGAGACANGUGCUGCAUGGCCUGUCGUCAGCUCGUGUUGUGAAAUGUUGGGUUAAGUCCCGCAACGAGCGCCACCCUUUAUCCUUUGUUGCCAGCGAUUCGGUCGGGAACUCAAAGGAGACUGCCGGUGAUAAACCGGAGGAAGGUGGGGAUGACGUCAAGUCAUCNANGCCCUACGAGUA